rnacentral:lncRNA from 1 species
UUAUACUAGUAUGUCCUCUGUUUCUAAGGACACAGAUGGAAAUGAGAUAUCUGAUAUCCAUGUUACUGGAGAGUCAGAGGAUAUGUCUGCAAAAGAGAGAUUGCUACUCUGGACGCAGCAGGCAACAGAGGGUUAUGCUGGAAUUCGGUGUGAAAAUUUCACUACCUGCUGGAGAGAUGGAAAAUUAUUUAAUGCCAUCAUUCAUAAAUACAGGUAUGGAAUUUGUGUAUUUUUUCCUUAUACAACUGUAAGACACAUUUCUUUCAUCUCUGAAUUUUAAAAUUAUCUUUUAUUAUUAUAGAAGCAAAAGCAUGGCAAAAAAUUAGAAAAUACAGAAAAAUUAAAAUAAAAAAUUGGCCAGGUGCAGUGGCCCAUGCCUGUAAUCCCAGGACUUAGGGAAGCCAAAGUGGGUAGAUUGCUUGAGCCUGGGAGUUCGAGAACAGCCUUGGCAAAAGGGUAAAACCCUCUCUCUACAAAAAAAUACAAAAAAUUAGCUUGGCAUGGUGGCAAGCACCUGUAUUUCCAGCUACUCCGGAGGCCAAGGCUGCGGUGAGCUGUGAUCAUGUGACUGCACUGCAGCCUGAGUCACAGGGUGAGACUCUGGCUUAAG